GGAGGAAUGGCUGAGUGGUCUAAAGCAGCAGCGUGCUAAGCUGUCGUAAUGAAAGUUACCGUAAGUUCGAAUCUUGCUUCCUCCG
rnacentral:tRNA from 2 species